UACGGAAGGUCCGGGCGUUAUCCGGAUUUAUUGGGUUUAAAGGGAGCGUAGGUCGUCUUAUAAGCGUGUUGUGAAAUGUCGGGGCUCAACCUGGGCAUUGCAGCGCGAACUGUGAGACUUGAGUGCGCAGGAAGUAGGCGGAAUUCGUCGUGUAGCGGUGAAAUGCUUAGAUAUGACGAAGAACUCCGAUUGCGAAGGCAGCCUGCUGUAGCGCAACUGACGCUGAAGCUCGAAAGCGUGGGUAUCGAACAGG
rnacentral:rRNA from 1 species